rnacentral:rRNA from 1 species
CAGUCGCCGCGGUAACACAGAGGGUGCGAGCGUUAAUCGGAUUUACUGGGCGUAAAGCGUGCGUAGGCGGCUUCUUAAGUCGGAUGUGAAAUCCCUGAGCUUAACUUAGGAAUUGCAUUCGAUACUGGGAAGCUAGAGUAUGGGAGAGGAUGGUAGAAUUCCAGGUGUAGCGGUGACAUGCGUAGAGAUCUGGAGGAAUACCGAUGGCGAAGGCAGCCAUCUGGCCUAAUACUGACGCUGAGGUACGAAAGCAUGGGGAGCAAACAGGAUUAGAUACCCCUGUAGUCCCUGUCUCUUAUAC